UAACAUCUGCAGGCUGGCCAGCCCCCAGGCUGGGCUAGGAAAGUAUCUCUUCAAAAGGCUCACUCUCAAGCAGGACUAGGAGC
rnacentral:pre_miRNA from 1 species